rnacentral:lncRNA from 1 species
AAAUAAAGAUCUACUCCCUGUCCAGCCAACCCAUUGACCAUGAAGGAAUCAAAUCCAAGCUUUCUGAUCGUUCUCCUGAUAUUGACAAUUAUUCUGAGGAAGAGGAAGAGAGUUUCUCAUCAGAACAGGAAGGCAGUGAUGAUCCAUUGCAUGGGCAGGACUUGUUCUACGAAGACGAAGAUCUCCGGAAAGUGAAGAAGACCCGGAGGAAACUAACCUCAACCUCUGCCAUCACAAGGCUGCACCCAAGGCCCAGGAGCUACACUGGAAUUUGGCCUGUCUUCCUGACAGGCUUUGAGUGCCAAGGGCAGAGACCAAGUCCUCCAGUCUUCGUGUCUUCCCACAGCUCGUCAUGAAAGUGGGCUCUGGUGGGUGUUUAUUGACUUGAAUUGACCCCAAGUGGACGUUGCUGAGAACUGUCAUGCGAUUUGUCCCUACAGCAACCUAACAUCAAACAGAAGUUUGUGGCCCUCCUGAAGCGGUUUAAAGUUUCAGAUGAGGUGGGCUUUGGGCUGGAGCAUGUGUCCCGCGAGCAGAUCCGGGAAGU